AGGAUCCAUCAAACCAACGGUCGCAUUGGAAUCCGUGAGUGGUCGAUCUCGAGAAACAAGUCUUACCACUGGUAGAUGAGAUUGGCCGGAACGCGGUUGAUGUUUCGAAUUACGUUCCAUUGUUGCCAACGAUUCUCUUUUGAGGUGGGAGACGAGAGCAGUUUUGCUGAAAUUUGAGAUCUUAACGUCUCUUCUCUCGCUGGAGCACUCGAAAAUGGAAUGGUGGAUCAAGGUAGCUUCUCCCCUGCGAAGAUUUACCUCCCGUGUCGCCUCUCGUCUCGGAUAUCGCAAACGCGGGCUUCUGAAACUAGGGCGAGAUGUGAAGGCGUGCGAAUACGAGGACGUGCACGUGAUGUGGGAGAUGCUGAAGAGAAACGAAACGGAGGCAGUCGGAAUCCCGGAAGGACGACGUCGAAAGAAGAGACCAAUCUGGAAUAUCUUUUGGUGGGCUCGAUCUGCUCCAUGCAUUGGCUGCAGAUUCUGAACAAUCAUCUCACGGUCAGCAUAUUCUUCUUGGUAAAUCCAAGAUGAACACCAUGAAUUUGGGUCAUAUUUGUUGUAAAUCAAUCAGGCAACAAUAAAAGAGAUUGAAAUUUGAUAAACUGGAUUUUGGUGUUUGUCUCAUAUAAUUUCAUCUCAUGCUUUCAUAUGAUUCGUUUAGCCAUUGCCUC